GUAGGUGGCAAGCGUUGUCCGGUAAUUAUUGGGCGUAAAGCGCGCGCAGGCGGUUCUUUAAGUCUGAUGUGAAAGCCCACGGGCUCAACCGUGGAGGGUCAUUGGAAACUGGAGAACUUGAGUACAGAAGAGGAAAGCGGAAUUCCACGUGUAGCGGUGAAAUGCGUAGAGAUGUGGAGGAACACCAGUGGCGAAGGCGGCUUUCUGGUCUGUAACUGGCGCUGAGGCGCGAAAGCGUGGGGAGCAAACAGGAUUAGAUACCCUGGUAGUCCACGCCGUAAACGAUGAGUGCUAAGCGUUAGGGGGUUUCCGCCCCUUAGUGCUGCAGCUAACGCAUUAAGCACUCCGCCUGGGGAGUACGGCCGCAAAGGCUG
rnacentral:rRNA from 1 species